rnacentral:miRNA from 10 species
AUGUAUGUGUGCAUGUGCACGAACUGUGUAUACACACAUACAU